rnacentral:rRNA from 1 species
GUGACCUCAAAUCAGGUAGGACUACCCGCUGAACUUAAGCAUAUCAAUAAGCGGAGGAAAAGAAACUAACAAGGAUUCCCCUAGUAACUGCGAGUGAAGCGGGAAAAGCUCAAAUUUAAAAUCUGGCGGUCUUUUGGCUGUCCGAGUUGUAAUCUAGAGAAGUGUUAUCCGCGCUGGACCGUGUACAAGUCUCCUGGAAUGGAGCAUCAUAGAGGGUGAGAAUCCCGUCUUUGACAUGGACUGCCAGGGCUUUGUGAUGCGCUCUCAAAGAGUCGAGUUGUUUGGGAAUGCAGCUCAAAAUGGGUGGUAAAUUCCAUCUAAAGCUAAAUAUUGGCGAGAGACCGAUAGCGAACAAGUACCGUGAGGGAAAGAUGAAAAGAACUUUGGAAAGAGAGUUAAACAGUACGUGAAAUUGCUGAAAGGGAAACGCUUGAAGUCAGUCGCGUCAUCCAGGGAUCAACCUUGCUUUUGCUUGGUGCACUUCCUGGUUUGAUGGGUCAGCAUCAAUUUUGACCGUUGGAAAAAGGCUGAGGGAAUGUGGCAUCUUCGGAUGUGUUAUAGCCCUCUGUCACAUACAAUGGUUGGGAUUGAGGAACUCAGCACGCCGCAAGGCCGGGUUUAAACCACGUACGUGCUAGGAUGCU